rnacentral:rRNA from 1 species
UACGUAGGGUGCAAGCGUUGUCCGGAAUUAUUGGGCGUAAAGAGCUCGUAGGCGGUCUGUCGCGUCGGCUGUGAAAACUCGGGGGCUCAACUCCGAGCUUGCAGUCGAUACGGGCAGGCUAGAGUUCGGCAGGGGGAGACUGGAAUUCCUGGUGUAGCGGUGAAAUGCGUAGAUAUGCGGAGGAACACCGAUGGCGAAGGCAAUCCCCCUGGGCCUGCACUGACGCUCAUGCACGAAAGCGUGGGGAGCAAACAGG